rnacentral:rRNA from 1 species
ACACAUGCAAGUCGAGGGGAAACGACAUCGAAAGCUUGCUUUUGAUGGGCGUCGACCGGCGCACGGGUGAGUAACGCGUAUCCAACCUGCCCACCACUUGGGGAUAACCUUGCGAAAGUAAGACUAAUACCCAAUGAUAUCUCUAGAAGACAUCUGAAGGAGAUUAAAGAUUUAUCGGUGAUGGAUGGGGAUGCGUCUGAUUAGCUUGUUGGCGGGGUAACGGCCCACCAAGGCUACGAUCAGUAGGGGUUCUGAGAGGAAGGUCCCCCACAUUGGAACUGAGACACGGUCCAAACUCCUACGGGAGGCAGCAGUGAGGAAUAUUGGUCAAUGGACGAGAGUCUGAACCAGCCAAGUAGCGUGCAGGAUGACGGCCCUAUGGGUUGUAAACUGCUUUUAUAAGGGAAUAAAGUGAGUCUCGUGAGACUUUUUGCAUGUACCUUAUGAAUAAGGACCGGCUAAUUCCGUGCCAGCAGCCGCGGUAAUACGGAAGGUCCGGGCGUUAUCCGGAUUUAUUGGGUUUAAAGGGAGCGUAGGCCGGAGAUUAAGCGUGUUGUGAAAUGUAGAUGCUCAACAUCUGCACUGCAGCGCGGACUGGUUUCCUUGAGUACGCACAAAGUGGGCGGAAUUCGUGGUGUAGCGGUGAAAUGCUUAGAUAUCACGAAGAACUCCGAUUGCGAAGGCAGCUCACUGGAGCGCAACUGACGCUGAAGCUCGAAAGUGCGGGUAUCGAACAGGAUUAGAUACCCUGGUAGUCCGCACGGUAAACGAUGGAUGCCCGCUGUUGGUCUGAAUAGGUCAGCGGCCAAGCGAAAGCAUUAAGCAUCCCACCUGGGGAGUACGCCGGCAACGGUGAAACUCAAAGGAAUUGACGGGGGCCCGCACAAGCGGAGGAACAUGUGGUUUAAUUCGAAGCAACGCGAA